rnacentral:rRNA from 1 species
UUAUUUCAUGGAGAGUUUGAUCCUGGCUCAGGACGAACGCUGGCGGCGUGCCUAAUACAUGCAAGUCGA